AUGUCCAGGAGGAAGGUGAGGGGACUGACACGGAUAGGGCGGCAGGUGAGCGAGGACCCUGACCUGGAUGUCCUUUUGUCCAACCUGUCUCCUGAGCAGAUUGAGGAGCUGGAGAAGGAGGUAUUGGUGGCCCCCAACCUGGAUCCCAAUGAGGAAAGAGCCAUAGAGCAGCCUGCCACUAAUACUGUCCGGGACCGGGAUGCGAAGCUGGACAGCCGGGAGCGUCCUGGGAAGCUCAGCCAAAAGGAACAGUCUAUUGAGGGGGAACCCAAGAAGGAGAGCCGGAAACAAGAGUACCUGAGGAAGAUGGGCCUGAGUCAGGAGGGGAAAGAAGGAAGGGGGAUCAGAAGGCAAUCAAGUAUCACAACAGAACGAGAGAACAAGAUGGAGGAGAGAAAUAACAAAAGACCAGACAGCACUAAAGAGGACAGAGUCAGCCUGUCCAAUAGAUAUAGGAGAGAGGAGAGCAAAGACAAAGAAGUGAAAGAGACCUCUAGAGAAAGAUUCAGGAAAGAGAGUAAGGACGCUGAAGUGAAAGAUACAACUAGAGACAGAUCCAGGAGACAGGAGAGUAGAGACAGUUUAGAGAAAGAGGAUGCCAAAGAAAGAGAGAGAAACGAGGAUAACAAGCUUAUGGAGAAAAGAGACAAGAGGUUGAGCACCAGUAAUAAGACAAAGGAAAUGAUCUCCAAGUUACAAGAGAAAAAGGAAAAAGAGGAGAUCAAGGAAAAAGAAAGAAAAGAGGAUAUGAAAAAAAGAGAUGAGAACAAGACAAGGGGACUUGUGUCAAAGUUUGUGGAGAAGCAAAGUCGGGUUGAAGAGAGUAAAACAGACGAUAAAAAAAACAGAGUGGAAGAGAAGGACAAGCCUGUGAAGGACAAGUCUGACUUGAAACUUGAGAGACAAAAGUCGCCAACAGAGAAGGAGAGCGGAAGUGAGAAGCAAGAGGAGAAGGAAGAUCCUAAGGAGAAAGCGAAAGAAGAUGGUAAGGAGAAUAAGAAAGAUGUGGGGUUAAAACGUAAGGAAAGUAUAAAAGAGAAAGAUAGGAGAAGUAUUAGAGACAAGGAAAGAGAAGAGAAAAGGGAAACAGAGGAGAAAAAGGGAAAAGAUGCAAACGAAGGACUAAAAUCCAGCAAGGGUGAGGAACAACGUGGGAACUGUGUGACGAACAAGAGCACACCUAGCAAGACCAAUGUAGAGGAGGAAGAAGACGAGGACUCCAGCAUGUUCAGUGACCUCAUAGAGCAAGUUUGCAGCAACGACCCCACCAUGACAGAGCUCAACGUGAACAACUCGGAGGUCAUCAAGGCUAAAACACUCAUCCAGUUUGCAGAGGCCUUGAAUAAAAACACCCACAUUAAGACUUUUGCCCUGGCCAACUGCCGUGCUGAUGACCACGUGGCCUACGCCAUUGCGGGCACCUUACGCACCAAUACGUCUAUCACAAGCAUCAACCUGGAUUCCAACCUUCUCACCCCCAAGGGUAUAAUGUCCCUGAUCCAGGCCUUGCAGAAAAACACUACACUCACCGAGCUGCGCUUCCACAACCAGAGACACAUCUGCGGAGGCAAGACAGAGAUGGAGAUGACCAAGAUACUGAAAGACAACACCACCCUCCUGAAGCUGGGCUACGGCUUUGAGCUGGCCGGCCCACGCAUGACCAUGACCAACAUCCUGAGCCGCAACAUGGACAAGCAGCGACAGCGGCGCCUACAGGAGCAGAAGCUGGCCCAGGCCAACGGUGAGAAGAAAGGGAUGCUGGAGGUGCCCAAGACUGCUGGGGGAUUCCUCAGGGUUUCCCCCAAGGCUUCCCCUAAACCCUCCCCACACCCCUCACCAAUGCCCUCCCCGAAGUUGACUCAAAAAAAGAGGACCUGGAGGGGGACCUCCUCCACCCCCUCCUCCUGGGGGCCCACCCCCACCUCCACCCCCCAUGCUGGACAUAGACUCCCUGCGAAACUCCCUGACGCCCGCAUCACAGAGGAAGAUGGAUGAUAAGGCCAACAAAGCCGGUGGUACGAACUCUAGGGACCAACUGCUGGACUCCAUUAGGAAUGCCAAUAUGAAGAAACUGAAGAAGGUUGCGGUACCAAAGCUGUUGCAGUAAUCCCCUGGAAUGGAGAGUGAAAGCCAAGGAAGAGGAAGGACAUAGAUCUCACGGGGGAUCGAAACUCCAACACAUCCCACGCACAGACUGACACUCAGUCUUACCACUGUGCUGCGGGAUGGAUAAGGCAGGGAAGCAGAGAGUGAAAAUUGAGAUUUCUAUUGGAUGUACAGCUUUCACUGUGCCACGAGUUCUCUCCUCAAACUUAACACUGGACCGCAGGGACCCCGUGGAGGGAGAAGAGGGCAGAGUUUUGCAGCAGGACGUGCCCUGAGGUCCUAGUUGUCUGCCUUUGUCUGUGUUGAUGCUUUGCCUGUCAUUUGCACUAGAUUAUGAAGCAGUGCAUACGGUAUGUUGACAAAAGCAUAUGAUGUGUAUGAUGUGGGGGCAUGUAAAAUUCUAUAAAAAAAGAUAUAUACAAAACUACUUUAACAUUCAUUGAAAUAUUGGAUGGUAAUUUGACAUUUUAUUUAUUUGUUGAGGGAAUCACUUGGAAUUUUGCCCAAACUGCUGAUUCUCCAUGGCAUAUUAUCAGGGAAUUAAAAUGGGGUUAGAUUUCAGCAAUUCACAGGGGGAGAAAGGGUGGUUUGUAAUGUGUGUCAUUGCCAAAUCUCAAGACUGACAUCUCAGGCAAAGUUUUACACAUAAAAAGCAACCUAGAAUCCCAGUCUUCUUAGAAAGACUCAGGAAGGAAGUUAAGUUUUUUAGAGAUUUAAGUAUGGUCAACCUUUAAGUACUAACAAAGUUAUACAACAACGUUUAGUAAUAACAAUGUUAUUUAUAAAUAUAUUUUCAUACAUUUUGCUCAAAGUGCAAAAAAUAAUGAUUCUAACAUAGAAAAAAUUUUGAAUGUCAAAAGCGAAGAAAACAAAUCGCAGAAUACUAUUUACAGCGACAACAAUGCAAACAUAUUCCAGGCUAGAUGUCUUACUACUAGUCAAGUCUUACAACUAAAGAUUUUAAAACAGUUUAUUUUAUUACCAUGGCAGAGCAAAAUGAAUGCCUCUUUCAGUGUGAUGAUAUUGUACAGAGCGGUUUGCCACUCUAAAAGUGACUAUUGACUAUUGUAUGCAUAAUGUGGUUUCUGUUUCAUUUUGGACUUCAUUAAGUUACAGAGCCUAUAAAAAAAAGUACUGGUAUGUUUGCAAUUAAAAGUGUAAUAUAAUACACUUUAUAACAAUAACUUCAUAAUCAAGUACAUCUUUUUUUUUUUUAUUAACACGAAGAUACAGGAUGGAGACAUAUCAGUCCAUUAUUUGAUGGCAGGCUAAUACAGUAGAGUAGGCGACUGAUACAUUUACUGUAUUUUGUUUGAAUGUUUAACCUGUACAUACAAUAUUAUCCUUUCAGGUGGACAUUUCCCCAGUGUUCAAUGUAAUAUAUCUUAAUAAUACAAUUUCUACUGCUUGAGAAAUAUUAAGUUGUCUAUGUCAGUCUGUCUAUUGAUUGGUUGACGGAAUCAGAAAUCAUUUCCAAUAUCUAUAUAAGAUAUGUUGUCUCAGUAGAGCCCUGUAACCUGCAAAGAUAUUGAAACUGAUGGGAGAGGACAUUUUGUGAGCAAAUGGACAAUUCUGUGUGCCAUGCCAAGUAUAAGAUGUCAAAUAGAUCAUAAUAAAAGUUUUGUGUGCACACACACAGAGCAAUGAAGUGUA